GUUCCUGUACAUGUUGCCGUUUUCAAAUCGAUUGUAUCUCUUAUACUUUUUGAGAAAAAUGCAAAGGAAAGAAAUUGUUUCAAGGGGAUAUAACUCUCAUAGGGGACGAUGGAAUCCUAUUCAGCCUCACAUGGUAAUACAUCAUGAUGAGAUCUACAUUUUGUCCAAUUAAGGUCAUGAUAUCUUUAAAACCAACGAGAGGGGGCCAUGUUGAAAAAAAUCAAUAAAAGGGAGAUAACUCAUAAAGGGGAUGAUGAAAUCCCUAACAGGGUCAUUUGGUAAUACAUCUUGGUGAGGUCUAGUGAUGGGCCAUAUUUGGUCUUAAUAACUUCAACAGAAACAAGAGGCGGGC
rnacentral:lncRNA from 1 species